GGCAGUUUUACGUUUGGACGAGGUUGGCGACGAGCUGCGCAUAUAGAAGGUAACGCAGCCAAGAGCGACUGUCGCCCGGCUCACGCAUUAAAGUUGCAGCAGUCGGUCGGUACCUGCUGGCAGAAGAGGAGAUCUCGUCCCUUGCUGCGGAGCGUCAUCGUUUGCUGCAUUUGUUCGAUAAGAGGCUACCAAGAUGGCUUUUGUGAAGUCGGUCGUUGCAGCCAUAGUGUUGGCGAUGAUUUGCGGUGGCGCACCAGUCGCGGAAGAAAGUUGCAACUUCCUUGACGAACACCUGGAGCGCGCCAUCGACUCCUUCAUUGAAAAGCUUCCGGCAGGGCGCUCCAAGACAUUGGAAAAUGACUUCCCGCCUGAAAUAUCCAAAAACAUUGAAUUCAAACUCUUGGGCCUCAAUUCCCUUCGUCCCUUCGGGCCAUUCUUGACCUUCUGCAGGAAUGAUAGCAGAUUUGUGCAAUUUGAUCUUGUCAACAAGAGGCCCCUGAUUCUCGUGGGAACGCAGACUAACGACACUAAUACCAAUGAAAUUUUGAGUCGCGCUCUGCUGGUACGAUUCACUGGGCAGUUCGAAGUGGAAGGUGCUGGAGAGGACCUGAAGAUCCAUUUCAAAGAAAAUGUGCCCGUAUCCAUGGUCGGACUCACCAUGGUACUGAGGGCUGCAGACACAGAAAAAAAAGAGGAUGCUCGAAUCGUUUUCAGCACACCGAAUCUGCACUUCCUGCUCUCCCUCUGGAACGGCAUGCUUUACGGUGUACUGGAUACACUUUUCACAGAAAUAUUAGGCAAAAAAUAAAGACCUUCAGGUCAGAAAUCAUCACUCGCGUGUUUCAUAUUUUCAAGUUUUUUUUUCUGAAAAAGUCGUAACAUGAGGCACAAUACAUAAGGUGAACGAACGUUAUUAAAUUCAGUCCUGCAUGUCAAGGACCGCUCGACAAUGAAAGCGAAACACUUUUAUGUGUUUUAUUCAAGAGUGUAAUGAAUAUGUUAAAAAAAUCAUGACCCGUUCUGGUCUGUGAAUUUGGAUGACUGAAAACUGUGUAGCAGACGAAUAAACUGGUGACAACGAAUUUGUAACCAA